GCCAGAUGCAGUGGUGCACACCUGUAAUCCCAGCAGCUCAGGAGGCAGAGGCAGGAGGAUCACAAGUUUUAGGCCAACCUGGGAAACACAGUGAGACCCUGCUCAA
rnacentral:sRNA from 1 species